CAUCCUCCUCCCGUCGCCAGCCAUCUUCGCCGGAUGUUGAGAACCAGGGACGGCGGAGGCAGGUCGAGAACCAGGGACGGCGGAGGCAGGAGGUUUCGCCGGCGGAGAUUUUGUCAUGAUGUAGCUGACCAUGGAAAGUAUUAUUCUGAUGAUGGGGACAUUGAAGGAGACAGUGUGUAUAGCGACAGUGAUGGUUUGGAAUAUAGACCAAGAGACACUAUCUGGUAGACAAUUUCAUCCACCUUUGGGAAUUGAUAAUAAACAAAGAGCAUAAUUUUGCAAGUUUCAAAGUCAUGUAUCCCAAUGUGCCUAAGCAACAGACGCCGCAUGACUGUGGUAUUUUUGCAAUGAAAUAUAUGGAGAUUUGGAAGCCAUUUCUUGACCUGCGCACGUAUUUUUCUGACAAUGACAUCCUGAACAUAAGGAUUCAGUAUGCAAUCAAGCUUUACUUCCUUGGUGAAAAUGAAGCAGAUUUGAGAGUAGUUACAGAUUUCUAUUCUCAGUGAAGCCUGAUAAGUGAAGCCUG